GUAGGUGAACCUGCGGAAGGAUCAUUACAAAUCGGAGUUUUUCUCCACAUUGGCACGGGGUCCGCGUGCCCCCGGGAGGGGGGCGGCGGGCCCUGAUGUUGACGCUUGCAUGUUUGACGGGUUCAGGGUGACUGACACGAUAUAACGUGUGAUAAGCAAAGGACAACUUUUAACAAUGGAUCUCUUGGCUCUU
rnacentral:misc_RNA from 1 species